CCUUUUUCGGGUUUUCAAUCCACCGGGAUACCCAUUUUUGCCUGAGCCGCCCUUUUGGGUUUUCGACUCACCGGGUGUACUCUUUUUUUUUAUCCCUAAUUUUUGCCCGAACCUCUUUAUUCUUUUUUUUGGUUCGUCGGGAUGCCCCUUUUUGCCUGGACUAUUCUUUUUACUGUCCAGCGGGUCUAUUUUAUGCGAAGUAUAUUUUUAACUGCGUCUGAGUUGAC
rnacentral:lncRNA from 1 species